AAGUCGUAACAAGGUUUCCGUAGGUGAACCUGCGGAAGGGUGUCGGCCUCUAGCGAUCGUUACUGCGCCAUUCUUUCGAAUGCCAGGCCACUUGCCUCGCGCUGCUGCCCACUCCAUGCAGAGGUCCCUGAAUCAAAACUGUUCGGCGAUGAUUUACCAGGGAUUGCCGCGUCCUAACGGAAUGGGGGAGCACAAUGAAGGUUCACGGGGGGUUUAACGUUGGAUACGUGUUAAUGAUCACGCCCCCCUAUCACCUUUGCAUGAAAACGGGCCUGCGCUUAAUUGUGCGGCCACCAAACUCGAACAACUGUUAACAAUGGAUAUCUUGGUUCUC
rnacentral:misc_RNA from 1 species